CAGAGCCUGCAUGAUGGAAUGUGUAAUGGUAGAUGACAUAGUUCCCAUGGCCGAAGAUAUGGCCUUACUAAUGGAGUUGGACAUAGUGGCGUCCAACAAGUUUUGGAACUCCUCUUAACCCAUGAGAGUGACAUCAUUAACAAGAUCAGAGAUAGAAGUCCCAAGGGGCAGGGGGUGGCCAGAAGAGCCAUCACCAGCAGACUGCAUGAUUAAGAAAAAUCCAACAAGCCAGGUAAUAAUAGAAAUAUAUAUAUGUGAGGCAAGGAUUGCUUAAACCAAGCCUUCUAUGUGAAAGGAUCAAUAACACAGUAUGACUAUGUAGAAAAAACAGAUACCAGUGAUGGGAGUGUGGAAGAGGGAAGAGGAGCCGUUUACCGCUUGCAGACCGGAC